GAUGAACGCUGGCGGCGUGCCUAAUACAUGCAAGUCGAGCGAACCACUUCGGUGGUGAGCGGCGAACGGGUGAGUAACACGUAGGUGAUCUGCCCAUCAGACGGGGACAACGAUUGGAAACGAUCGCUAAUACCGGAUAGGACGAAAGUUUAAAGGUGCUUCUGGCACCGCUGAUGGAUGAGCCUGCGGCGCAUUAGCUAGUUGGUAGGGUAAAGGCCUACCAAGGCGACGACGCGUAGCCGACCUGAGAGGGUGAACGGCCACACUGGGACUGAGACACGGCCCAGACUCCUACGGGAGGCAGCAGUAGGGAAUCUUCGGCAAUGGGCGAAAGCCUGACCGAGCAACGCUGCGUGAAUGAUGAAGGCCUUCGGGUUGUAAAAUUCUGUUAUAAGGGAAGAACGACUUUAGUAGGAAAUGGCUAGAGUGUGACGGUACCUUAUGAGAAAGCCACGGCUAACUACGUGCCAGCAGCCGCAGUAA
rnacentral:rRNA from 1 species